CUCUUCUCCUCUGUUGCCCCCCGGUGGUGGAAUGAACUUCCAAACUCCAUUCGAUCUGUAGAGUCCCUCUGCACCUUUAAGAAAAAGCUAAAGACCCAGCUCUUUCAUGAAUACCUACUAACUAAUGAUGAUGGUCUCCAUAUUAUUGAUGAUUAUGAUGAUGGUAAUGAUGAUGGUUUUUGUUUGAUGACGAUGACUUAUAAGAUGGUUUCUAUACUGAUUAGAGCUCUCAAGAACUGCCGUCAAUGUUGUGCUUUGCCUCUGGUCACUUCCUGUCAGCACCUGUGUGUCCAAUCAGACUCAAAGCUGAUCGUUUGCUCUUACUGACAUUGUUCCCUUUUUUCUAGAUCCUUGCUUGUGUUGUACUUACUCUCUGAUGUACGUUGCUUUGGAUAAAAGCGUCUGCUAAGUGAAUUGUAGAAUUGUAGAAUUAUGUUUUUGAGGUUGAACAAGGAGAAGACCUGAAUCAAAGACUGGACAAACAUGAACAAAGCAGAUUUUUCUAUCACACUUAGCACUUAUAACAAAAUCCAGCUGGAUUCCAUAUUGAGGAACUGUGUCCCAUUUAUUUGAAUAUAAGUGAUCGCUGAGGUUGCUCCGAUAUAUCUCCUCAUCCAUACAGUGCUGUGAAUGAAGAGUGUUUGCUUUAUGGGUUCAUGAUACCAGAGCAUUAUAGUG